rnacentral:rRNA from 1 species
CGGCGAGUGAAGCGGCAACAGCUCAAAUUUGAAAUCUGGCCCUUUCAGGGUUCGAGUUGUAAUUUGUAGAGGGUGUUUCGGGCGCGGCGCCGGUCUAAGUCCCUUGGAACAGGGCGUCAUAGAGGGUGAGAAUCCCGUAUGUGACCGGUGAUCAACCCCAUGUGAAAUCCCUUCGACGAGUCGAGUUGUUUGGGAAUGCAGCUCAAAAUGGGUGGUAAAUUUCAUCUAAAGCUAAAUACCGGCCAGAGACCGAUAGCGCACAAGUAGAGUGAUCGAAAGAUGAAAAGCACUUUGGAAAGAGAGUCAAAAAGUACGUGAAAUUGUUGAAAGGGAAGCGCUUGCAACCAGACCUGCCCGUGAGCGAUCAGCCUCCGCUCGCCGGGGGUGCACUCGUUCGCGAUCAGGCCAGCAUCGGUUUGGGCGGCGGGAUAAAGACCUCAGGAAUGUAGCUCCUCUCGGGGAGUGUUAUAGCCUCUGGUGCAAUGCCGCCAGCCCGGACCGAGGACCGCGCUUCGGCUAGGAUGCUGGCGUAAUGGUUGUAAGCGACCCGUCUUGAAACACGGACCAAGGAGUUGAACAUCUAUGCGAGUGUUUGGGCGUCAAACCCAUACGCGCAAUGAAAGUGAACGGAGGUGAGAACCCUUGAGGGCGCAUCAUCGACCGAUCCAGAUGUCUUCGGAUGGAUUUGAGUACGAGCAUAGCUGUUCUGACCCGAAAGAUGGUGAACUAUACUUGAAUAGGGUGAAGCCAGAGGAAACUCUGGUGGAGGCUCGCAGCGGUUCUGACGUGCAAAUCGAUCGUCAAAUUUGGGUAUAGGGUAUGUUUUAUGUUUCGUGAGCGGCAAUGGAUGGUGGCUAACUGAUAUUUUAGGGCGAAAGACUAAUCGAACCAUCUUGCUAGGUGGUUGACAAGUUGAGUGGGUGAUUCGUGAAGAGUCUCCCACCGUUAGUCCCUCCGGGGCGACAUCACUACUUGCAUGAACACCUUCGGCGCGAUAGCGAACGGGAGGUUGAUAUGCAGCAGUCAGGCUUCCGAGUCUUCUGUUCACAGACCAAAUAGUGGUGGCCGGGUCUUUUGAGGGGCCUGGUUUAGAAAUGGCCGAGUCCUACUCGUUCAGUCGAGUUGGCUCCCCGCCAGGCGUUCGCCUCGCUUGUGAGCCGCAGGUUACGACGCUAGUAGCUGGUUCCUGCCGAAGUUUCCCUCAGGAUAGCAGUAACGUUUUCAGUUUUAUGAGGUAAAGCGAAUGAUUAGAGGCCUUGGGGUUGAAACAACCUUAACCUAUUCUCAAACUUUAAAUAUGUAA